rnacentral:rRNA from 1 species
GAUGAACGCUAGCGGGAGGCCUAACACAUGCAAGCCGAGCGGUAGAGAUUCUUCGGAAUCUUGAGAGCGGCGUACGGGUGCGGAACACGUGUCCAACCUGCCUUUAUCAGGGGGAUAGCCUUUCGAAAGGAAGAUUAAUACCCCAUAAUAUAUUUGAUGGCAUCAUUAGAUAUUGAAAGCUUUGGCGGAUAGAGAUGGGCACGCGCAAGAUUAGAUAGUUGGUGAGGUAACGGCUCACCAAGUCGAUGAUCUUUAGGGGGCCUGAGAGGGUGAUCCCCCACACUGGUACUGAGACACGGACCAGACUCCUACGGGAGGCAGCAGUGAGGAAUAUUGGACAAUGGGUUAGCGCCUGAUCCAGCCAUCCCGCGUGAAGGACGACGGCCCUAUGGGUUGUAAACUUCUUUUGUACAGGGAUAAACCUACUCUCGUGAGAGUAGCUGAAGGUACUGUACGAAUAAGCACCGGCUAACUCCGUG